UCUGGAAUAACAAGAAACUGAGGAUAG
rnacentral:misc_RNA from 1 species